rnacentral:lncRNA from 13 species
ACUCAGGACUCAGGAAAGAAAGAGAAAAAAACAACGAUAAAUCAUAUGUAUGAAAGACUGUUUCUAAUUACAUAACUGUGACUGAACUUUUCUUUUCUUCUUUGGCAGGUUCCUCCUCUCCAACUCCUGCCCAGGACUCAGCCUGAGAGAGUCACAACUAAUCAAAGGCACUUGUAUGGAGAGAGAGAAGGGUUGACCAGUUCUGUCCAACCCGUUGCUCAUUCUCCCUCUCUCUCUCCUCCUCUUCCUCACUCCUCCUCUUCCUCGCUCCCUCUAGCUCUCCCUCUGUUUGGGAAAAAAGGGGGUAAAUUCUUGUAGGCGACUUCACUCCAGGUUUCUGUGGGAUUUAAACAUGCGUGCGGAGGCUUUGGUGAACUGUAUGUUAGUUCCCUUGCUUCUUAUUCUGCUCACGGCUGUCGAGCAAAGUUUGUUACAAUCGCUGGGGUGAGUUUUGGAGUUUCACCAUGGCUUUCUUUUUCACUUAGUUUGGGGGUUUCAAAGACAGAGAGAGAGAGAGAAAGAGAGAGAGAGGGCAGAGAGAGGAAAGGCCUUAGCAUGUGAGGCCAGGAAUAGAAAAGAAUGUCAGAAACCUAGACCAAAAGACUCACUGGGAAAUCUCCGAGUGAGUGGGACAGCAAAACAAAAGCUUUGAAAGAUCGCCCGUCUGGAGUUGCAGUCCAAGUGGAAUGACUGUACAGCCAGUUUGCUACAGCAGGGAAAUAGUUCUGCAACAAGAGGAAAUGUGAAUUAUUAUGUGGAUUAUAAUUAAGGAACAUUUUUGUAGGGGGUGAUACAUUUUUUUGUACGGGCAAAUCAAGUCUGAAAUUUCUAAGUGGAAAAUUGCUAACUUUAGAAUCCUUUGAAAAACUCAUAUACACUACAAGUUAGCAUUUCCUGCUUUGCAGGAAUGUUCUCAGCAACAAGAGAGUGAUCAAAUUGAGAUCCUAUAUCUGUAUCUGUACAGUAUGUUCUUUUCUUGGUUCUCAUUCUCCAUUCCAACCUGGUUUCAAUGCGGAAGACACAUUUUAGUUGACUGCAUUCAGUUGUACAACUGAGUAGGUAUCCCCAUUUUCCUUUCCUUUUAACCUAUUUGAAAUGACUCGGGACUCUGUCUCUCUUUCCUGAACAUUGAACAUUGACAUACUUGUGUCUGUAGACUGUAGGUUUCUACCCCAGCUCUAACCUCGGCCAUUAUCAGUUGAAUUACAUAACACAGAGAAACAUUAUAGCUAUUGUCAAAUGACCAUUUUCUUAUAUUGCACUGGUUAGCUGUUGUCAUACAGUAGCUCACCAGCCAUAGGAGGUAUUUCUGCCUUUAGAGUACACUAGGUAUUAGUUAGUUCAUAGGUAUUGGUUAGUUCACAUUAUGCUUAAAAUAGGACGUGAAUAGUAACAGAAAUUACAUUACAAUGAGAUAAUCCAUUCAUUUGUGAGAUACUCCUACAGCAUUUGCAGAGCUGAACGUUCAGGAGCCACAAAAGAUGUACAGUCAGAGAGAGAGAGGGAGAAGGUGGGAGAGAGAGAGGGGGAAAGAGAGGAAAAACAAGAGAGGGGAAGCGGCAUGGAGAGAGAGGAGAGGAUAGGAAGACAGAGAGAGUGAGAGAAACAGUCAGAAAGAAAGGGAAAGUGAGUACGAUUACAAUUAAAGCUGUAAAACUUCACACAGUCACCUUGCACCUAUAGACAAAUUACUUUUUCACAGGAAAUAAAAUGAGGGAAGAAAGUGAGGGAAGAGUGAACAG